rnacentral:rRNA from 1 species
AUCCGGAAGUCACUCCCAACCCCUGUGAC